AGUGAACGCUGGCGGUAGGCCUAACACAUGCAAGUCGAACGGCAGCACAGUAAGAGCUUGCUCUUACGGGUGGCGAGUGGCAGACGGGUGAGGAAUACAUCGGAAUCUACUUUUUCGUGGGGGAUAACGUAGGGAAACUUACGCUAAUACCGCAUACGACCUACGGGUGAAAGCAGGGGAUCUUCGGACCUUGCGCGAUUGAAUGAGCCGAUGUCGGAUUAGCUAGUUGGCGGGGUAAAGGCCCACCAAGGCGACGAUCCGUAGCUGGUCUGAGAGGAUGAUCAGCCACACUGGAACUGAGACACGGUCCAGACUCCUACGGGAGGCAGCAGUGGGGAAUAUUGGACAAUGGGCGCAAGCCUGAUCUAGCCAUACCGCGUGGGUGAAGAAGGCCUUCGGGUUGUAAAGCCCUUUUGUUGGGAAAGAAAAGCAGCAGGUUAAUACCCCGCUGUUCUGACGGUACCCAAAGAAUAAGCACCGGCUAACUUCGUG
rnacentral:rRNA from 1 species